rnacentral:rRNA from 1 species
UACGUAGGGGGCUAGCGUUGUUCGGAAUCACUGGGCGUAAAGGGCGUGUAGGCGGUUCGGUAAGUGGAAUGUGAAAUCCCUCGGCUCACCCGAGGACCUGCAUCCCAAACUGCCGAGCUUGAGUAUGGGAGAGGAUGAGGGAAUUCCUGGUGUAGCGGUGAAAUGCGUAGAUAUCAGGAGGAACACCGGUGGCGAAGGCGACUCUUUGGUCUGUAACUGACGCUGAGACGCGAAAGCGUGGGGAGCAAACAGG